rnacentral:rRNA from 1 species
AUUGAACGCUGGCGGCAGGCCUAACACAUGCAAGUCGAGCGAGCGGCGGACGGGUGAGGAAUGCCUGGGAAUUGUCCAGUAGAGGGGGAUAACAGUUGGAAACUACUGCUAAUACCUCAUACGAUUGGAUUGCGCGGGGGGGAUUAGCUAGUUGGUGAGGUAAUGUCUCAGCAAGGCGACGAUCCCUAGAUGGUCAGAGAGGAUGAUCAGCCACACUGGAACUGAGACACGGUCCAUACUCCUACGGGAGGCAGCAGUGGGGAAUCUUGCGCAAUGGGGGAAACCCUGAUCCAGCCAUGCCGCGUGUGUGAAGAAGGCCUUCGGGUUGUAAAGCUCUUUCAGCGAGGAGGCGUUACUCGCAGAGGAAGCACCGGCUAACUCCGUGCCAGCAGCCGCGGUAAUUC